rnacentral:rRNA from 1 species
GAUGAACGCUAGCGGGAGGCCUAAUACAUGCAAGUCGAGCGGUAGAGUGACUUCGGUUGCUUGAGAGCGGCGAACGGGUGAGUAACGCGUACACAAUCUACCUUUAAGAGGGGAAUAGCCCUGGGAAACUGGGAUUAAUGCCCCAUGGCAUCACGAGACGGCAUCGUUUUGUGAUUAAAGCUGGGGUGCUUAGAGAUGAGUGUGCGUCUGAUUAGCUAGUUGGUGCGGUAACGGCGCACCAAGGCGACGAUCAGUAGGGGGCGUGAGAGCGUGGACCCCCACACGGGUACUGAGACACGGACCCGACUCCUACGGGAGGCAGCAGUAAGGAAUAUUGGUCAAUGGAGGAAACUCUGAACCAGCCAUCCCGCGUGCAGGAAGAAUGCCCUAUGGGUUGUAAACUGCUUUUAUCUGGGAAGAAAAGUCGGGAUUUAUCCUGAUCUGACGGUACCAGAGGAAUAAGCACCGGCUAACUCCGUGCCAGCAGCCGCGGUAAAGU